AUUUUUAAAUAUCUCGUCAUUUUACUGUGUUCUGAUUUCAAUUGCUCGAUUAAAAAAUACUAUCCAUUUCCACUUUUAACGAAAAACUUUCUUCAAAAAACGUAUCUCUCAUACUAAUAAAUAAAAACAUUAAGCAAUAAAAAAUUUUGACUUGAGAUAAAAAUAUCAAAAUAAUUAUUUACUUGGUGCAAGGUAAUUUUGAUUUUCCGGAUUUUUCAGAAUUCGAGUUGAAUGCUUUUUCUAUGUAGUUGUAAUUCACAAAAUCCGAUAAUUGUAAAAUGUAUUUGUAACCAAUACUAAAAGUUGGAAUUAUUUUAUAAUAUAUAAAAAUUAGAGUGUGCCGAUAAAUACUUCCUACAACUUAUUUUUCACAAAGCAACACAGUUCACUUGAACCAAGAAAUUUAAUCAUAAUACGAGAAAUUUUUUUUAACGAUUCAGAAAAUUAAAAUUUUCUUGCACCUAGAAAAUGAUUAUCUUGAAUUAAAAUUAUUUUUCCCUCAGCAUAUUUAUAUGCCUAAAUUAAAAAAUUUUUACUUGUUUUAAGAGUUUUUUUUUCUAAUUAUGAGAUGCUUUUUUUUUUUUUUUAAAAUUGGGCUAGUUUUUUGAAGCAAUAUUACAUUUUUUUGUUUAAAGACAAUAAAUUUUCUCGGAAUAAAUACUAUUCUUUAAAAAUACUUGAAUUAAGAAAAAAUUAACUUGGUAGUAAAGAUAUAUAUUAGGGUGUCCCAAAUAAAAAAAAUAUUUGUUUUUUUAAGGUGUUAUGGGCUCAAAAGUUACUUUAUAUUCUAAAAAAAAUGCUUACCAAAUUUUAGCAAGAUAUCUUUAAAAUUUAACUAUCACAAAGGGGGGUCCCAUUUCCCAUUUAAAAUACACGUGAAAAUUUUUCAUUUUAGUUUUUCGUCAUUAAGACUAUGAAAAAAUUUUUUUUUUAAAUUCCACCUAAAAUAUUUUUAUAGGAAAUUAAAUUCUCUACAAAAAAGUGUUAAAGCAUUAUGUGUGUCAAACAAUUAGAAAAAAUUUACAGGACUUCAAAUAUCAGUAAAAAUUUAGUUUCCUCAGUGCUAAAUUUUUUUUUAUUAUAUUUCAUUUCUAAUCUAUCGAAAAAUUUUUUUUCUUCAAAUUUUGACAUGCACGUUCUUGUAUGAAAUUCAAUUUUUUACAAAAAGUAUCUGAUAUAUUAUGUACGUCAAAUGUAUGAGAAAAAAGUUAUAGGGCUUUCAAUAUCGACAAAAAGUGAAGUUUAAAAAAUAGGAAUUUUUUUUUUAUUUUCACCCAACAUUCGAAAUUUUCAAAGUUGUCGACAUUGUCAUAUUGCUAUAAUUCAAUACCACCUAGCGGUAUAAAUAAAUACUAAUGCAUUAAAAUUUGAAUAAUCUUGGAAUUGAAUUGGUUCAUUUCUAAAAAUUCCUCCUAGCAGUAUAUAGUGGUACUUAUGCAUUGAAAAUUUGAAAAUAUUUAAAUUUUAUUUGCUCAUUUUAAGAAAGUAGAUAAACGUACUUGAAGAUUGGCAAUUUAUCAUUAUUAUACGAAAUUAGUGAUUGAAACCAAUUGUCAAUGGACUCCCAAAAAAAAUUAAUUUAUUUAGUAGGCUUAACUACUAGCAAAAUAAGUACCCGUAAGUUACCGACCAAUCGACAGUACUGGGAUACCAGUAAUUAAAAACUGCAAUAGCAUUGUAAAAGUUGAAGCAUUGUAUAAGAAGUGGCUUAAUUUAAGUAAAACCUCGAUGAGAAAAAAAUCACCAUCUAAACAAAAAAAAAAAAAGCGAAACGACAUUCUCAGGAGCAUUGGAUGAGUUAUUCGACAAGUCUUAAAAAUAGCUUAAGUUUACUGCCGGAUGAUAAAAAAAUGUUUUUGGUCGAUUCCCAACAACAAAAACGGAGAAGUCCAAUAAAUUUAGAUUCAAAAGUAACUGUUGAGGAACCUACCGAAGAUAAUGUUGAAGAUGAGUUAAGCAGAAGUCUUUCCAAUGUCACCGUAUCAUCUAAGGAUUUUUCUCGUUACUUUUCUACUGAUUCUGAAAAUGAAUUGAAAAGAACGGUAUCAAAUUUUGAAUAACUAACAGCGGCUACUAUGGAUCAUAAAAAAUUAAGCUAUCGAAAAGCUGCUCAUUUAACAGCUUCUUUUGCUCAAGCUCUUAUCGUCGAUUCUGAGGUUCUUAGUUUCAGCAAAAGUUCAAUUUAUCGACAUCUUGUAGAAGCACGAAAGUCUAUCGUAAAUAAUAUUAAAAACAAUCAAUCUAUUGCUAAGUGUCUAAUUCUGCACUGGGAUGGCAAAAUGGUUCUUGAUAAUGAUAAAAUGAAAAAAGUCGAUCAAUUACUAGUCUUAGUAUCAGGAUUAAACACUGAAAUAUUCGUUGAUGCUCCAAAAUUAGAAUCUGGGACUGGUGAGCAUCAAGCCGAAGCAAUAAUUAAACUGUUAAAUGAACAGCAGUUUGAAAAUCGCAUCAACGGUCUUUGUUUUGAUACAGCAGCAGUCAAUACGGGUCAUCAAGAAGGAACAUGUUCGUAUUUGGAGCAACAUUUAAAAAAAAAAUUUAAUUUAUUUUCCUUGUCGCCACCACAUUUACGAACUUGUACUUCGUUGUGUAGUGGAAACCUGCUGGCCAAUAACAUCUUCGCCGAAUGUAUUAAUAUUUAAACGUUUCAAAGAAAAUUGGUCUAACAUUGAAAAAACACAGUUUGAAACUGGAUUACAUGAUGAUUUUAUUAAUUUAAAUAUAAAAGACCAAAGAGAAGAGAUUUUAGAAUUUAUUUCACGCCAAAAAAAAACAUCAACCACGUGCCGAUUAUCGAGAGCUACUGGAUUUAGCUUAUAUAUUUUUGGGAGGUAAUUUAGCUCACAGUAUUGUAUUUAAAGUUCCUGAAGCAAACCACCAUUCUAGAUUCAUUUCAAAAGCUUUAUACGGUCUUAAAAUAUUAAUGUUUAAACGCCAAUUUAGUAAUUCAUCAAUAGAAAUACCUAAAUUACGAGAUGUUGUACUAAAAAAGAUGUUGUACUAAAAGGAUAUAAGCAAAAAAACUAUAUCAUUGUUCGAGCAAUUUGAAUUAUCAAGUGAUUUUUUAAAUGUCAAUCCUAAAACGUGGCUUAAUAAUAAAAAGUAUAAUGAAUGUUGAAUGACGCUGGAUAUUCUUAAAGUUGUUAAUGACAUAGCUGAACGUGGUGUUGCAUUAAUUCGAGAAUACAAUAGUUUUGGUACGAGAGAUGAAGAAGAACAAUAAAAUAUUUUUAAAGUUGUUAAAAAUCAUAGAGCUGUAUAUCCUACGUGUAAUAAGAAUGAAUAUUUGAAGCCCUUCAAUAAUAUACUUUACUAUUUGAGUAAAAAUAAAUAUAAUUGCUUAUGGUUUACGAUAGACGUAAAAAAAGUUUAUUGUUUUUUAUUAAGAAAUAAACUGAA